rnacentral:rRNA from 1 species
UCGAGGAUCUUUAGCAAUGCCCGAAAGGGUGACUAUGCGACGCCGCGUGCAGGAUGAAGGCCUUCGGGUCGUAAACUGCUGUCAGGGGGGAAGAAACCUUACGUGUUAACAGCGCGUAAGCUGACAUCACUCCCAAAGGAAGCCACGGCUAACUCUGUGCCAGCAGCCGCGGUAAGACAGAGGUGGCAAGCGUUGUUCGGAUUUAUUGGGUGUAAAGGGUCCGUAGGUGGUCUAACAAGUCUGAUGUGAAAUCCCAUGGCUCAACCGUGGAACUGCAUUGGAAACUGUUGGACUUGAGUACCGCAGAGGUAAAGGGAAUUCCUGGUGUAAGGGUGAAAUCUGUAGAUAUCGGGAGGAACACCAGUGGCGAAGGCGCUUUACUGGGCGGUUACUGACACUGAGGGACGAAAGCAAGGGGAGCAAACAGGAUUAGAUACCCUGGUAGUCCCUGAGCGGGCUGGCAAGGCGCAU